rnacentral:rRNA from 1 species
AGACUUUGAUCCUGGCUCAGAGCGAACGCUGGCGGCAGGCCUAACACAUGCGAGUCGAACGAGCCUUCGGGCUAGUGGCGGACGGGUGAGUAACACGUGGGAACGUACCUUUAGGUUCGGAAUAACGCAGAGAAAUUUGCGCUAAUACCGAAUGUGCCCUUCGGGGGAAAGAUUUAUCGCCUUUAGAGCGGCCCGCGUUAGAUUAGCUAGUUGGUGGGGUAAAGGCCCACCAAGGCUACGAUCUAUAGCUGGUCUGAGAGGAUGAUCAGCCACAUUGGGACUGAGACACGGCCCAAACUCCUACGGGAGGCAGCAGUGGGGAAUCUUGCGCAAUGGUCGAAAGACUGACGCAGCCAUGCCGCGUGAAUGAUGAAGGUCUUAGGAUUGUAAAAUUCUUUCAGCAGGGACGAUAAUGACGGUACCUGCAGAAGAAGCCCCGGCUAACUUCGUGCCAGCAGCCGCGGUAAUACGGAGGGAGCUAGCGUUGUUCGGAAUUACUGGGCGUAAAGC